GCGCAGGGGCUUUUUUUCCUUGCCUUUUUUUUUUUUUCUCUCCCACCCCCUUCUCUCUGCUGAUCCCCGCGACCUGCGUUUUCCUGGGGGUCCAGAACUCUGGACCCAAGGCACCAGCCAGCCACUCAGGAGGGCUCCUCUCUCAUUAGAGAACCCCUUAUGCCCACGUCCACUCAUAAGCAGAUGGCCUCCCCCCAACCAGGAGGAUUCUUAAUGGGGUGAAAAUGCCAGUCCCCGAAGCCAGGGUUCCUGGACCCCCAGGGCCGAGCUGGGCGUGGGAGCCCCUCAGGGGUGGGGAGGCCGGCCGAGCUUGAAGAAGUGGAGGAGAGAUCUACACAACGUUAGUGGGGCAUCUCCAUUCCACCUUCCUGCUCUUCCUCCUUUGCCCCCAACUCCAUCUCUGCGACACCCUUUCCCCCCCCAAAAGAAGUCACUCCCAGGCUCUAGCUACAGAGAGCCAGGGUGAGAGCGGGCAAGGCGAGAGAGCGACCUCGGUCGUGGGCAAGUAGCUUGUUUUUACGUCCUUCAAUAAAAUUUUUAUGAGGAUCA